rnacentral:rRNA from 1 species
CCUACGGGUGGCAGCAGUGGGGACUAUUGCGCAAUGGGCGAAAGCCUGACGCAGCGACGCCGCGUGUGGGAUGACGGCCUUCGGGUUGUAAACCACUGUCGGGAGGGACGAAUGCCCCGCAAGGGGAGUGACGGUACCUCCAAAGGAAGCACCGGCUAACUCCGUGCCAGCAGCCGCGGUAAUACGGAGGGUGCGAGCGUUGUCCGGAAUCACUGGGCGUAAAGGGCGCGUAGGCGGCCUGAUAAGUAGGGGGUGAAAUCCUGCGGCUUAACCGCAGGGCUGCCUUCUAAACUGUCAGGCUAGAGCACAGUAGAGGCAGGUGGAAUUCCCGGUGUAGCGGUGGAAUGCGUAGAGAUCGGGAAGAACAUCAGUGGCGAAGGCGGCCUGCUGGGCUGUUGCUGACGCUGAGGCGCGACAGCGUGGGGAGCGAACAGGAUUAGAUACCCUCGUAGUC